CAAUGCUUGAAAAGGGUAAAUAGACACCAGGAGGGCAGGGGCCAACCUCACGGCCCGUGAGGCGCUGAACCGUGCUGAGGCACUUUAAGACCUGCAGUGCCCCACCCCAACUGUUAAUGAGCUCAUUAACAGCCAUUGCCCCUCUCUCCCUCAUAUCCAGCUCGGGGCAGUGGGGUUCAGAGUGAGGAGGGAUUACUUCGCUGUGAAGAGCUGUGUGGACGGGAGUCUGCCCAGGAGCCCAGGGAUGAAGGAAAUCUUGGACAUCUUUUGUUGUGCCACCACUUGUUAUCUGCUGCUAGCUGGUGUCGGGGGACUGAAAGACAAGAUAACUGACAUGCAGCUAACAGGUGUUUCUUGGAUUUGCCUCAUCUGCUACGAAUCACCGUUGAGUCCAACUGGAGAUUUUCCCUUCAGCAGACAGGCAGUGCCCUGCACAUUGGUAUUCUGCACCUGCUCCCACCAUGCCCAGUCCAUCCCCAGUAUCGUAGUUGAGUCUGGCUGGACAUCUCUUGACAGCUGGUUCAUCAGAUCCACAUCAUUGUUUGUGCAGGGUGGAUUUAUUGUACAGAGAGCCUGGGGCACCUGUAUCUCAUUAUGUAAAUGCAACCACUCUGUCCUAAGAUGUUGUUUACUGUUGGAAUGUGAUUACAGGCAGGUACUGGUCCUGAAUUGUUUCCUUUUCUGAGAAGAUCAGCGUUUGAGAAUGGUAACAUCAACAAUCAUCCUUAGGCAAAAUGUUUUUUUUUUUAUUUUUUUUACAGUGCAGUGAAAGCUUAUUUUAAUAACUUUCUGUUGCCCAAAUUCUCAUCUUUUUAAAGUUAAAUGUUCUGCCAGAAUGAGAUGAAUGAGUCGUCUGUUCAAAAUACACAACACGCACAAGUUCUCAUCAGUCUUUACUUUGGCAGACAGUGUUUACACGCAUCUAAAUUCAUAUGGAGCAAAACUGUCCCCAUUUUGCUGGAAAUGCCAAACAGCAUUUGACGAAUGUUAAUUUGUUUUGAUCUAAUUGCAGCGCAAUAUUUUAUUACCAAGAUGCUCAGACCUAAUUAAAAUUAUUUUGUAUUUAUUAAAAUCUAAUGGAAAACAUCAGGCUCCCUUACUUGUGAUCUGAUAACCAAGAAUCCAGUUUAAUCAGCUCCAUUUGAAUCUGAGUCUAUUGGAGCAAUAAUUGCCAUAAUGCACAUUAAAAAAAUGAUUUUAACUAAAACGUGAGCCCACAUUUUCAGCCGAGCAAUGGAGAGACCAAACUUGAAAAUAGUCUGAUAUGUCAGUUGCCAAUUCCAUGCUCGUAGAGAACCAGUAUGAAUAAGACUCGAAAACCAUUGCCGUACUCCCCAAAUUUCAUCAAGCAGUGGAAAAAAUUAAGCAAGGUAAAGAAGUGGCCUAGUGUACAUAUCUGCUACCAGACCCAUGAUCAUAAUUACUAUAUCAUUUUGAGCUGUUUAGGAUAUCCCUAUUUUUCAUUUGUUAAUACACCACUGAUCCUGCAACCCAUUUUCACUGUGGCACUGCGAGUGAAGCAAGGGGGAUUAGUCUCACAGGUCUGCUGCUGCUGUGUGGCCAUCACAGUGACCAGCGCAGGUGCUUUGCAAGUUUAUUACCAAAAUAAAACUACUUGCAAGGUUAAUUAAAAACGGAAAUAUUUCGCUGUGGUCUUAGCACUCUGAAAAUGUGCUGAUUCAGACAAGAAUACGGACAGACUUACUACAGAGGCUGACUAAAUAUACCUUAAUUAUUAUAUAAUUUAAUUCAGUAUAAAUAAGGCCUUCUUGGUAUAAUGGCUCUCUGCCAUUUGUGAUUAAUUUUUCAUUAGGCAUGAGGCCAUGAAAGCACUUAAGCAGGUGCUCAAUUUUAACCACUUUAGUCAAUUACACUUAGAAUUAGGCAUAUGUUCCAAUGCUUUGCUUGACUGAACUGCUAUUCCCCAAACCCUAGCUGACCUACAUGUACGUUGUUUAUAUCAGCAAACGUUUUUUUUCUGUUUAUUAUCACUAGGGAUUAAAAAUAAGAAAUUCUACUAUUUCAUCCCCCAAAUAAAUGCAAUCUAAAGAAGAUCAUGUCCUUUAUUAGAGCAUGCAAUAUAGGUAAAAGGACAGAUUUCCUAAAACCUUGUUUCUCUUUCAUACUUAGGCUAUCCAGGUGGCAACCACCUUAAUGAGUUACACAUUAACAGUCUCCAGUCAUAUCCAUAUAACCUAUAUGCCUGCUGACAGGGGGUGAAGUUUUCUAAACCUUUUUUUCCUGUAGUAAUACAUUAGUAAUGCAAUAGUUUUACCACUCUGCUUAUGAGCUACAAAAUAUAAAUACUACCAAAGUUUAUCUACUUAGUGCUGUGCUACUUGUCCAGACUGCAAUAUUCUUUAGUUUUGUUCAUGAUAACAUCAAAUAAAAGAGCAUAAAAAACUUAGAUUAUUCUUUUUUAGAUUCAGAUUUAGAUUUCUAUUUUUUUAAUAGAGAUCUUGGCUCAUGUUGUUAGCCAGGCACUGACCAGCC
ensembl:lncRNA